GUGAAUCAUCAAAUUUUUGAACGCAAAUUGCACUCUCUGCGGAGAGUAUGCGUGUUUGAGGGUGAGCCUAAAAAAAAAUCGACAUAGUCGCUGUUUCGCGGUGACAUUCGUCGGAAAUUGGGUCGUCUUAUACCUUUGGGUUUUAAUUGGCUUAAAAUUAUCUUUACGAUUCUACGAACGUUUUUAAGAUUUA
rnacentral:misc_RNA from 1 species